rnacentral:lncRNA from 1 species
UAAUGAUAUAUAAUCUGCCUACUAAUUUCAAUGCAUGAGCCUGUUUCUUCUUGUAAAAAAUAUUAACAGUGUAUCAUUUCCCCCAUUGCUUCACAGUGUCUAGUAAUUUUUUAUUUUAUGCUGGGCAUUGUCGUUCUCUUCUAUUCUGUUUAGGUGCUGACCAUUUACCUGGCUUGGGUGGUCCUGCAUCUAUGAGGCCAGCAAGAGGUGACCUCUCAAGACCUUCCUAAGGUGGGAUCAGAAAUCGGGAGCCCUGGCCUCUGACCUUG